rnacentral:rRNA from 1 species
GACGAACGCUGGCGGCGUGCCUAAUACAUGCAAGUUGAGCGCUGAAGGUUGGUACUUGUACCGACUGGAUGAGCAGCGAACGGGUGAGUAACGCGUGGGGAAUCUGCCUUUGAGCGGGGGACAACAUUUGGAAACGAAUGCUAAUACCGCAUAAAAACUUUAAACACAAGUUUUAAGUUUGAAAGAUGCAAUUGCAUCACUCAAAGAUGAUCCCGCGUUGUAUUAGCUAGUUGGUGAGGUAAAGGCUCACCAAGGCGAUGAUACAUAGCCGACCUGAGAGGGUGAUCGGCCACAUUGGGACUGAGACACGGCCCAAACUCCUACGGGAGGCAGCAGUAGGGAACCUUCGGCAAUGGACGAAAGUCUGACCGAGCAACGCCGCGUGAGUGAAGAAGGGUUUCGGAUCGUAAAACUCUGUUGGUAGAGAAGAACGUUGGUGAGAGUGGAAAGCUCAUCAAGUGACGGUAACUACCCAGAAAGGGACGGCUAACUACGUG